rnacentral:rRNA from 1 species
AUUGAACGCUGGCGGCAGGCCUAACACAUGCAAGUCGACAUGAGUGGCGAACGGGUGAGUAAUACGUGGGUAACCUGACCUCCUUUUUGGGAUAAGCCUUGGCAACGGGGUCUAAUCCCGAAUAAAGGGGGAUGGGCUCUGGGCCUAUCAGCUUGUUGGUGGGGUGAUUGCGUACCAAGGCGGUGACGGGUAGCCGGCCUGAGAGGGUGAACGGUCACAGUGGGACUGAGAAAAGGCCCAGACGACGAAGGGAUGCAGCAGUGGGGGAUAUUGAACAAUGGGCGAACGACUGAUGCAGCGACGCUGAGUGGGGGAUGAAGGCUGUCGGGUUGUAAACCUCUUUCGGUACAGAAAGGGUAGGUGGAGAAGAAGCGCCGGCUAACUACGUGCCAGCAGCCGCGGUAAUAC